rnacentral:lncRNA from 1 species
UAUGUAGCUCUGCUCCGUCCACUUGUAAGUAUUUGAUUGGAUAAGGUGGAUCCUGUCAAGCUAAUUAUACAGUGGAUUGUGUGUUUUAUGUCUAUCUAUGACCUCCGCAAAAUGGACGGUGGUGAUUUAAAGUAAGUAACGACAAGAAGCAUUUUUCUUCUCAGUCUAAUCAUAUCUGCAUUAGUUGGGAUUGUAAAAUGAAUAGUGUUGGAUCUAUUUUGAGCGAUCCGAAUUCUUCUGCGACUUAUUUUCUAAUUAUUUUAAAUUCGCGACUUAUUUUUUAAUUAUUUUAAUGUUUAUUCGAGAUUUUUUAAGGAUAAACUGUAAAAAUAGAUACUUUUAUUUGUCUCAUGUAAUACCCAAAUUUUGCCAAGCCCUAUCAAUAAUAAAACCAAAUAAAAAUAAAAAAAUAAAUGUCCAGUUUUUAUUACAACAGCAGGCCCAAUUAAUUUACCUAAAAUACAUUUCCCAAACCCGAAUAGCCCAACACCAGACCCAAACCCUAGCCCAACUCGAACUGGCCCAUUUUCUUGAAGCAUCCAGAAACCCCUAGGGUUUCUGGAGCGAUUUGCGCCGCAGCCUAGCCAGACUCCUCACCGCGCACGCAUCGGCCUCCCCCACGUACGUCUCGCCUCCAGUUGUACCUGCAGCAACAAACAACCAACAACAACAGCAAAAUAAAGGGGAAAAACGAGUAACAAACGGAAAAGAGGGAUUUUUUAUUUUUAUUAUUUGUAUUAUUUAUUAUUUCCAGCUAUUUAAGGCCAGGAAAGAAAUCUGCAAAAGGGGGAUUUUUACGAAAGCAAAAGACAAAGAAAAUUUGAAUACAGAUACAAAAAUAUUUUUGAAUACAAAGGUUUUUUUAUUUUAUUUUAUUCUACUUUGUUGGUGCUCAUCGUUCUUUUACUUUUUAUUAUAUAUAUAUUCUUUUUCUUUUUCUUUUUUUAAAAUAAAAAGAAGGGAAGAAAGGGAAACUUACCUUUUUCCGCCGGAACCACCGAGUUGAUGCCGUCUUUGUCGUAAUCGGAGCUUUGGCACAAGGCUGAACGUCGGCACUCAAGGGUUGGUGAAACCCUAAAGAAACUGUUUCUUUUUCGCUGCUUCAGGAAAAGGAAAACAAAAAUGUUUCUUAAUUUUUUUUUUUAAACUUAAAGAAGGAACAAAACGGCGCCGUUCAGUGGGGGGAGGGUUCGCGCAUUUCCACCCUAAAUGGGAAAUUCGCGCAGUUAGGCCUCCCUUUUUUGCGACAUGUUUUUAUUAAACCCUUUGUUCCUUUUUUAAUUUGGCCCAAAUGUUUUACCUUUAUUCAUUUCAGCCCGUGUCAAUGCACAGCAUUUUGGGGGGCGGAUUAUUAUUAAACUGGUCCCCCAUGUCAUUCAUGCGUUGCAAUCUUGCCCUCAAUUUAUUUUUAAUUCCAUUUGUCACUUGUUAGUUUUAUUUCAAUUGUAAAAUGAUAUUUUUUUUGUUUUCUUUUUUUGAGUUUAUUAUUAAUUCAUUAAUAUCAUUAUCUUAUUAUUAUUGUUAUAGUUUAUUAUCACUAUUCUUAUUGUACCCAUAGUAUUAAUAUAUCUGUUUAAUUCUCACUUGUUUUCUUAUAUAUUUAUAUUAUUUUAUAAUAUAUAUAUCUUUUUUAUAUACUUCCUGUAAUACCUAAUUUUAGCGCGGACUCACAUAUGGAAACAUAAUCUUUGAGGAUAUGCAAUCUUAGAUACGAUAUAUGCAAUCUUAGAUAUGAUAUUUAAUCUUAGAAGAUAUGAUUUUGUAAUCUUAGAGAUUUAAUUUGUAGAUACUCUUUAAUCUUCGCCUUUGAUGUAAUUGAUUUGUACCGUUGAAUUUGGGGAGGCUCAGCUAUAAAUAGAGGCCUCUCCCUUCAUUGAAAAAGAAAGAAUCAAUAAAAAAGGGAGAAAACGAUUGGCAGUUUUUUAAAGGUGACUUACUGUUUUCUUUUUUUUUCUUUUUCGAUUAUUUUUUACUUAUUUACGAUUUUAAAAAAGGGAGAAGGUGAUACCACUGCGAAUUUUAUUUAUUUAUUUUAUUUAAUCCUAAUAAAGUGACGCGUUUCAAAUGAUGGAGAUAUUUUUCUAUUCGAGCCCUAUGAGUUAUUCGCACCUUUUAAUUGGGCCCUUCAUUUUUUUUAAUUCUGUUGAUUUUCAAUUUAAUCCUUAAUCUUUCAUUUUAGGUUUUUAGUCUAUUUUAUUAAUUUUGUUAUUAUUAUUUUUAUUAUUGUAUUGUAUAUUAUUAUUAUACCUACAUAUAUGUGCGCAUAUGCAUGUUAAUAUAUAUACCUAUAUAUUUUAAACGUUUUAAUAUAUAUACAUACUUUAUUAUUAUUUUAUUUUCAUAGUUUUUUUAUACAUAUAUAUAUAUACACAUUUAUAUUUCA